CUGCCCUUUAAAGUAUUACAAACAAGCAGUCUGCCAGGCCGGAUACCAUGUGCAUUUGAGUCAUGAUUUAAUAGAUAAAACAAGUUUCAUUGAAUAAAUGUAAUCACUUUUGUGCAGUCUGUUAAACGGAUGUUUCGUAGAUCUCUUUUAGUAUAACCGUAGAACCAGUGGACAGUUAUUCGCAGUUUACGUGAACGACGUACUUUGGAAUGGGCAGCAUAGUCAGUUUCAUAGCGACAUGGUUUUCUGGGCGUAUUCAUGGCCCACAGCUUCGCAGAAGACAGGGCAGCAUAGUCAGUUUCAUAGCGACAUGGUUUUCUGGGCGUAUUCAUGGCACACAGCUUCGCAGAAGACAGGCUUUAGACAACAGGCACAACAGGCUCUGGAAUAUCAUCUUUGACAACUAUUAU